rnacentral:rRNA from 1 species
GAUGAACGCUGGCGGCGUGCCUAAUACAUGCAAGUAGAACGCUGAAGCUUGGUGCUUGCACCGAGCGGAUGAGUUGCGAACGGGUGAGUAACGCGUAGGUAACCUGCCUGGUAGCGGGGGAUAACUAUUGGAAACGAUAGCUAAUACCGCAUAACAGUAGAUAUUGCAUGAUAUCUGCUUGAAAGGUGCAAAUGCAUCACUACCAGAUGGACCUGCGUUGUAUUAGCUAGUUGGUGAGGUAACGGCGCACCAAGGCGACGAUACAUAGCCGACCUGAGAGGGUGAGCGGCCACACUGGGAGUGAGACACGGCCCAGUCGCCUACGGGAGGCAGCAGUAGGGAAUCUUCGGCAAUGGGGGGAACACUGACCGCGAAACGCCGCGUGAGUGAAGAGGGUUUUCGGGUCGGAAAGCUCUGUUGUAAGAGAAGAACGAGUGUGAGAGUGGAAAGUUCACACUGUGACGGUAUCUUACCAGAAAGGGACGGCUAACUACGUG